rnacentral:rRNA from 1 species
AGAGUUUGAUCAUGGCUCAGAUUGAACGCUGGCGGCAGGCUUAACACAUGCAAGUCGAGCGGAAACGAUGGGAGCUUGCUCCCAGGCGUCGAGCGGCGGACGGGUGAGUAACGCGUAGGAAUCUGCCUAAUAGUGGGGGAUAGCCCGGGGAAACUCGGAUUAAUACCGCAUACGCCCUACGGGGGAAAGCAGGGGAUCUUCGGACCUUGCGCUAUUAGAUGAGCCUGCGUCGGAUUAGCUUGUUGGUGGGGUAAAGGCCUACCAAGGCGACGAUCCGUAGCUGGUCUGAGAGGAUGAUCAGCCACAUCGGGACUGAGACACGGCCCGAACUCCUACGGGAGGCAGCAGUGGGGAAUAUUGGACAAUGGGGGCAACCCUGAUCCAGCCAUGCCGCGUGUGUGAAGAAGGCCUUCGGGUUGUAAAGCACUUUAAGCAGGGAGGAAAGGCGUAAGGUUAAUAACCUUGCGAGUUGACGUUACCUGCAGAAUAAGCACCGGCUAACUUCGUGCCAGCAGCCGCGGUAAUACGAAGGGUGCAAGCGUUAAUCGGAAUUACUGGGCGUAAAGCGCGCGUAGGCGGUUUGGUUAGUUGGAUGUGAAAGCCCAGGGCUCAACCUUGGAAUUGCAUCCAAUACUGCCAGGCUAGAGUACGAGAGAGGGGGGUAGAAUUCCACGUGUAGCGGUGAAAUGCGUAGAGAUGUGGAGGAAUACCAGUGGCGAAGGCGGCCCCCUGGAUCGAUACUGACGCUGAGGUGCGAAAGCGUGGGGAGCAAACAGGAUUAGAUACCCUGGUAGUCCACGCCGUAAACG